rnacentral:lncRNA from 1 species
UUAAUUUCAUUUUCCUUUCCUCUUUCACUUUUAUUUUCCCUCUUCGCCGUCGCCGACCCACUCUUCACGGUCGUCGGCCUUCUCCUCGCCGUCGUCGGACCUCUCUCACCGUCGUCAGAUCUCUCCAUCUUCACAAACCCUCUCUAUCUUCACAAACUAUUUUAUUUGAUUUUUAUAAAAUUUAAAUAUUAUUUAAACAACAGGUUUUUUAUGUAAAAUAUUCAAUCAAUUUGUUAAACCCGAACCCGGACCUGACCAAACCCGACAUCAAAACCGGGUCCGGGUUCAAUGUUUUUUGACCUUCUCGGGUUUUGACCCGAACCCGAUUUGAAAACUCGGGUCCGGGUUUAGGCAUACCCGAGGGAAACCCGACCCAUGCCCAAUCCUAGUUGUAAACUAAUAAUAAUUCAAUGCAAUUACUGUUUACAAGAUUUUAUUGUAAACUAACGGGUAUUUCCGUUAAAACGAAAAUCCCUAUUUUCUUCCCCCUUUUCUUGUGCACAUCACCCAGUAGCUAUUCCGGCAAGCACACUCGCAAGACUUCUCCAAUACUUGGGCAACGCCUCUAGCAAUAGAUUUUAAUUAAGAGCCCAUGCCUCUACGAGUAGUCGGCCGUUAGCCAUGGGGAUAUGUGCCUUGACGUGGAGGAUUUCUUCAAUUUUCAGAGACGACAAUCAGAACAGAGGACGACCGUGUGAUCGUAAUCGCACGGCAGCGACAGCACGCACCGUCCGGCGAUCUUCGGACGGACGUACCGUUCCUGAAAAUUUUAGUAUAUAUAUAUAGCUUUGAUUAAAUAUAAAAGUAGAGUUGUGAUCAUUUUUGAAGUCAUAUAGAAUCUCAGUUCCUCCAAGUCUACCCGGACUGAAAUUCAACAAAAUCUCCACAAGGUCUACUUGAAAAAAAGAUAAAGGGUAUGCAAAUUUAAUAAAUCACUAUAUGACCUCAAAUAAGCUUUAAGAGGAGUUCUCUUAGAUAUUGGUUUCUCCCGAGCAAAAUCUAAUUAUUCCCUCUUCAUAAAAGAGAAAAAAUCAAAAUAUUUUAUCUCAUUGUAUAUGUGGAUGAUAUCAUCAUCACAAUCACAGACAACAAUGAGUUAGAAAUUGGAAUAAUAAAAAUUCAAUUGGAAAAACAAUUCAAACUAAAAGACCUAAGAAAAUUGAGUUAUUUUCUAAAAAUUGAGGUGUUUUAUUUACCAUACCCCAUAUCCUACCAAAGUGGCCGAGUAUCGGGUAUACCCAAAGUUUUAGGGUAAUAUAAAAUAUAAAAAAAUUAUACCCAUACCUUACCUAUUUUGUCGGGUGAUAGACGGGUUCUGGAGGAAGAGAAUAUUGUUAAUGACAUCCGGGGACAACUGGAUCUGGACAUGGAGGAGUGCACGGCCGAGCUAGACGAAACAGAGGUUGACUGUGGCAAGAUGGAGAGCGCACGACCAGUCAGAAAGAAGGAGUUAUCAUCGCUCCCAAAAGGAUAUGUUCUUAAUUGAAUAUCCGUUAAGUUUAGUCAGGUCUGCUUAUGAUAUUACGUAGGACCAUUUUUAUUAUCGUAGUCCUGAAAACAUGUAACCUUAUAAAAAGCAAACCAUUAUGUUUCAGUUAAUUUAAUUAAUCAAUUUAGUUAAACUAAAAACGGAACCAAGAAACCCUAGUCGAAGAGAAUUGGAUAAAAGUCUUGUUGGG